rnacentral:rRNA from 1 species
AUUGAACGCUGGCGGCAUGCUUUACACAUGCAAGUCGAACGGCAGCACGGGGGCAUCCCUGGUGGCGUGUGGCGAACGGGUGAGUAAUACAUCCGAACGUGCCCUGUCGUUGGGGCUAACGUAACGUCAGUUACGCUAAUACCACAUCCGAUCUGAGUAUGAACCCGGUGGUCCAUCGGUGCUCGCGCGACCUGCUCUCCCUAUGUCAGAUUAGGUAGUUGGUUGGGUAAAGGCCUACCAAGGCGACGAUCUGUAGCUGGUCUGAGAGGCCGACCUGCCACACUGGGACUGAGACACGGCCCAGACUCCUACGGGAGGCAGCAGUGGGGAAUUUUGGACAAUGGGCGCAAGCCUGAUGGAGCCAUUCCGCGUGAAGGACGAAGGCCUUCGGGUUGUAAACUGCUUUUGUACGGAACGAAAAGGCUCUGGCGAAUACCUGGGGCUCAUGACGGUACCGUAAGAAUAAGCACCGGCUAACUACGUG